rnacentral:ncRNA from 1 species
AUCAUCAACAGCUUGGAGAUAUAAGGGAUCAGCGGCAGGUUCAGAAUCAGCAGGACGAUAUUGCCGAUAUACAUAGACACAAUCACCGACCAGAACACAUCCGGGUUGUCGAUCAUCAUGCGCGGACC